AUACGUAGGGGGCGAGCGUUGUCCGGAAUGAUUGGGCGUAAAGGGCGCGUAGGCGGCCCGGUAAGUCUGGAGUGAAAGUCCUGUUUUUAAGAUGGGAAUUGCUUUGGAUACUGUCGGGCUUGAGUGCAGGAGAGGUAAGUGGAAUUCCCAGUGUAGCGGUGAAAUGCGUAGAGAUUGGGAGGAACACCAGUGGCGAAGGCGACUUACUGGACUGUAACUGACGCUGAGGCGCGAAAGUGUGGGGAGCAAACAGGAUUAGAUACCCUGGUAGUCCACACCGUAAACGAUGAUUGCUAGGUGUGGGGGGUCUGACCCCCUCCGUGCCGGAGUUAACACAAUAAGCAAUCCACCUGGGGAGUACGGCCGCAAGGUUGAAACUCAAAUGAAUUGACGGGG
rnacentral:rRNA from 1 species